rnacentral:rRNA from 1 species
GGGGGCGGGCUAAUACAUGCAGUCGAGCGAAUGGAUUAAGAGCUUGCUCUUAUGAAGUUAGCGGCGGACGGGUGAGUAACACGUGGGUAACCUGCCCAUAAGACUGGGAUAACUCCGGGAAACCGGGGCUAAUACCGGAUAACAUUUUGAACCGCAUGGUUCGAAAUUGAAAGGCGGCUUCGGCUGUCACUUAUGGAUGGACCCGCGUCGCAUUAGCUAGUUGGUGAGGUAACGGCUCACCAAGGCAACGAUGCGUAGCCGACCUGAGAGGGUGAUCGGCCACACUGGGACUGAGACACGGCCCAGACUCCUACGGGAGGCAGCAGUAGGGAAUCUUCCGCAAUGGACGAAAGUCUGACGGAGCAACGCCGCGUGAGUGAUGAAGGCUUUCGGGUCGUAAAACUCUGUUGUUAGGGAAGAACAAGUGCUAGUUGAAUAAGCUGGCACCUUGACGGUACCUAACCAGAAAGCCACGGCUAACUACGUGCCAGCAGCCGCGGUAAUACGUAGGUGGCAAGCGUUAUCCGGAAUUAUUGGGCGUAAAGCGCGCGCAGGUGGUUUCUUAAGUCUGAUGUGAAAGCCCACGGCUCAACCGUGGAGGGUCAUUGGAAACUGGGAGACUUGAGUGCAGAAGAGGAAAGUGGAAUUCCAUGUGUAGCGGUGAAAUGCGUAGAGAUAUGGAGGAACACCAGUGGCGAAGGCGACUUUCUGGUCUGUAACUGACACUGAGGCGCGAAAGCGUGGGGAGCAAACAGGAUUAGUAUCUGG